UCCGGUUCAUCACCAGCAGUCUCUUUAGAGUCCCCACCAUUACAUGUUGGCAACUAAAGAUAAGGGUUGCGCUCGUUACGGGACUUAACCCAACAUCUCACAACACGAGCUGACGACAGCCAUGCAGCACCUGUCUCACAGUUCCUUUCGGCACUUUCGCAUCUCUGCAAAAUUCUAUGGAUGUCAAGGGUAGGUAAGGUUCUUCGCGUUGCAUCGAAUUAAACCACAUGCUCCACCGCUUGUGCGGGCCCCCGUCAAUUCCUUUGAGUUUUAACCUUGCGGCCGUACUCCCCAGGCGGAGAACUUAUCGCGUUAGCUUCGAUACUAACCAGUCAAGCUGGCCAACAUCCAGUUCUCAUCGUUUACAGCGUGGACUAC
rnacentral:misc_RNA from 1 species